rnacentral:rRNA from 1 species
UUUCUGACCUAUCAGCUUUCGACGGUAUGGUAUUGGCUUACCGUGGCAGUGACGGUUAACGGGGGAUUAGGGUUCGAUUCCGGAGAGGGAGCCUGAGAAACGGCUACCACAUCUAAGGAAGGCAGCAGGCGCGCAAAUUACCCAAUUCUAACAGUUUGAGAGAGGUAGUAACAAGAAAUAACAAUACAAGGCAGUUAAAAUGCUUUGUAAUUGGAAUGAUAGAAAUUUAAACCCUUUUUAAAGUAUCAAUUGGAGGGCAAGUCUGGUGCCAGCAGCCGCGGUAAUUCCAGCUCCAAUAGCGUAUAUUAAAAUUGUUGCAGUUAAAAAGCUCGUAGUUGAAGUUCUGCUAAAAGUAACCGGUCUGCUUUUAAUAAAGGUGGUAUCUUGGUGUGUAUUUAGCAAUGAUGUCCUUUGAAGUGUUUUUUACUUUAUUGUAAUAAAGCAUAUUCAGGACUUUUACUUUGAGAAAAUUAGAGUGUUUCUAGCAGGCUAACGCUUUGAAUACUGCAGNUG